rnacentral:rRNA from 1 species
GGCAGCGUGGAUUAGGCAUGCAAGUCGAACGGGAUCUUAUUGAUUCAAUCCUUCGGGAGAGAAUCUUUAAUUGAGAGUGGCGAAAGGGUGAGUAACGCGUGGGCAAUCUGCCCUCAAGUUUGGAAUAGCCCACCGAAAGGUGGAUUAAUGCCAAAUGUGGUCUCUAGUCGCAUGGCUAGAACACUAAAGGCGGGGAUUCUUCGGAACCUGUCGCUUGAGGAGGAGCCCGCGUACGAUUAGCUUGUUGGUGAGGUAACGGCUCACCAAGGCUGUGAUCGUUAGCUGGUCUGAGAGGAUGGUCAGCCACACUGGGACUGAGACACUGCCCAGACUCCUACGGGAGGCUGCAGUCGAGAAUCAUUCGCAAUGCGCGAAAGCGUGACGAUGCGACGCUGCGUGGAGGAUGAAGGCCUUAGGGUUGUAAACUCCUGUCAGGAGGGAAAAAUAGGCGGUAGGCUAAUAUUCUACCGAGUUGAUGGUACCUCCAGAGGAAGCCACGGCUAACUCUGUGCCAGCAGCCGCGGUAAUACAGAGGUGGCGAGCGUUGUUCGGAUUUACUGGGCGUAAAGGGUGCGUAGGCGGUCAGGUAAGUUGGAUGUGAAAGCCCAUGGCCCAACCAUGGAACUGCAUCUGAUACUGCUUGACUAGAGUACAUGAGGGGAGAGCGGAAUUCUUGGUGUAGCGGUGAAAUGCGUUGAUAUCAAGAAGAACACCGGUGGCGAAGGCGGCUCUCUGGAAUGUUACUGACGCUGAGGCACGAAAGCUGGGGGAGCAAACAGGAUUAGAUACCCUGGUAGUCCCAGCCGUAAACGGUGUCAACUUGGUGUGGGAGGCCAUUACCCCUUCCGUGCCGGAGCUAACGCGUAAAGUUGACCGNCUGGGGAGUACGGCCGCAAGGCCAAAACUCAAAGAAAUUGACGGGGGCCCGCACAAGCGGAGGAGCAUGUGGCUUAAUCCGAUGCAACGCGAAGAACCUUACCCAGACUUGUACAUUAUUAUCUGUACGCCCUGUGUUAGCUAGGGAUAGCCUUCCGUAGGGUGAUAUACUAGGUGCUGCUAUGGCUGUUGUCUAGUUCGUUCCGUGAGGUGUUUGGUUAAGUCCUAGCUUCGUACGCUUACCCUUCUGAUUAGUUGCCUACUCCCGUUCUGCGGGUUGCUCUCUAAUUUAGACUGCCCUUGCAUUAGGGUAGGGUAGGUGGGGUAUGUACGUUAAGUUAGUAUGGCCCUUACGUCUGGGGCUGCAUACGUGCUACUAUGGCCGGUACUAGUAGGCAGCUAUACCGCGUAGGUGGUAGCAUAUCCUCUAAACCGGCCUCAGUUCGGAUUGGAGUCUGCUACUCGACUCCAUGAAGUCGGAUUCGCUAGUUAUGCCGUAUCUAGCUCCGACGGCGUGUAUACGUUCCCGGGCCUUGUACACACCGCCCGUCACAUCAUG